UACGUAGGGACCGAGCGUUGUCCGGAAUCAUUGGGCGUAAAGAGCGUGUAGGCGGCCACUUAAGUCCUGCGUGAAAUCUUGCGGCUCAACCGCAAGCGGUCGUGGGAAACUGGGUGGCUAGAGUGCGGGAGAGGAGAGUGGAAUUCCUGGUGUAGCGGUGGAAUGCGCAGAUAUCAGGAGGAACACCGGUGGCGAAGGCGGUCUCUGG
rnacentral:rRNA from 1 species